rnacentral:lncRNA from 1 species
GCUUACAAGUUUGGUUAAAGAGAGACUGACAUGAGCAUAAAGGAAGGGACAUUGAAAGAGGCAGAGAUGAAGGAAGAAAUUGUAACUUACUCCUUUUAUCCCACCCAUCAAAGGAAAGACAAGUUGACAAGUAUUGAUUCUGCACCAAACUGAGAAGAAACCUGGCGAUUCACAACAGAUAGCUGAGAAAUCCUAAGUCUGGAUUCCAGCUAAAUGGGAGCAGACUAAAUAGAGCGGCAGUCGGCGAACUACAUGUAGCCCAUGAACAAAAUCUGGUCCAGCACGUGUGUUUUUUUUUUAUGGCCCACAAAUGAGUCUGUCUUUACAGAUGAGUGUUAAAACUGGUUUGACAAGAGAGAACACUCACUUUGAACCCCAACUAAGCAAAAUAUUAUCACCUUUCCCCUCAAAAAAGGUUUUUGUUCUUCUCAUUAGUAAAUUUGUAUUAUGAC